GAGAGCAAGAGAGGGAUGGAGAGAGAGAUGCAAUAUGCUUAAAAGUAAAAAUAAGACUUGUAAGACAAGAAGAAUUAUAGAAAGGAAAAAUAAAAUGCUAUUUUACUUGAAAGAAUACUAAGGUUUUAACUGUUUCUCUUUUCAUUUCUUCAGUCAUUUAAAUAAUUUUUUUCACCUAUAGAUAGCACCCAUAGAUACUUCAUUGUCUCUUUUUACAUAUUCUCCCAAAAGAUGAGAGUUAAAUGUUCUGGAAAAUGCCUGUGGUGGGGGAUUGAUGACAUGACACCAGUGGAGACCAGAGUUCCUUUUCACCUACAUUGCCACCAAAUACAAGCUCUAUAGAGAAGAAACAGAGAGAGCCCUACACAAUAACAGAGAAACAAUGCAGAUCUUUUCUUCAGUGAGCAAAAUACAGCAAGUUUGGGCCUUGGGUAUUUAUGUACAAAUCAAGCAUAGAGAGGAGGGGAGAAUAAACUUCAAGUAGAUUCAGGUUAAAACUAUUUGGAGGAAACAGACUAUACCCUGGGGCCUUCCUGUCUGCCAUCUUUAUGAGGCAAUCUUAGCAUGUCCAAAUGUCCCUGUCUAUCAUUUUGACCUUGUAAACAUGUGCUCUGUGAACCUGAGAUACACAUAACCAAAACUGUGUCUUCCAUUUUCCCUCCUUGAACUAUGACCAUAAACUGAGCAUGCUCAGAAAUUUGUUGCUGAGCAUGCUGAAUAAUGUGUCUACAUCUAAUAAAGAGCUUUCCUAUGUGAACAUGCA